AAAUAGCCGAUGAUGGUGUUAAAUAUACUUUGUAGCGUACCGCUCUGAAAAAAACUUAAAUCUGAGGCAUUUU
rfam:Sorghum bicolor cultivar BTx623 chromosome 2, whole genome shotgun sequence.